GAGAAAUUCAUCAAAAAGAACAGGGAAAAGCUGUCAGGCACAGCUCAGCCAGGAGGCAGAAACACAGCCGCAGGGGGAUGCUGCGCUGACACAUCUCCUGGAAAAAAAGCCCAACAGCCUGCUAGACAGGUUCUGCGACCUCGACAAAAGAUCCUUACUUCACCCUCACAGAGACCAAAUAGCGCCCCCAACAGGACAGGAGGAAGAGGUGUGUUGCCUGAGAAGUCAUGCAAACCUGCUGUCGGAGGCAGAGGUCGAGCCCCUGUGGCAAACAGGGGAAAUGCUCAAAAAUUGCCAUGGAAACAAGGCUCCUGCAGAUCAAGCCCCACCCCAAUCAAAAGCCCCUCCCCUUCCAGGAAAACAGAUCCCGCUGACAGAACUUCCACAUCUCCUCCUGUGAGCAAAAGCCCCACCCUGUCCAAGAAAAGCCCCUCCCCUUCAGCAGAGAGACCAUUCAGAA